GUGAGACAGUUCGGUCUCUAUCCGUCGUGGGCGUUGGAGAUUUGAAGGGAGCUGCCCCUAGUAUGAGAAGACCGGGGUGGACAUACCACUGGUGCACCAAUUGGCCUACCAGGGCCACAGUUGGGUAGCUAUGUAUGGAAGGGAUAAACGCUGAAAGCAUCUAAGCGUGAAGCCCACCUUAAGAUGAGAUCUCCCAAUUUAGUAAGACCCCUUAUAGACGAUGAGGUUGAUAGGAUAGGUGUGGAAGUGCGGUGACGCAUGAAGCUGACUAUUACUAAUAGGUCGAGGACUUAACCUA
rnacentral:ncRNA from 1 species